AGUCUAUUCACUUUUGUGGACAGGACAAUGUGGUGUUAGGGCAUGCACCUGGGAGAGCUUGCCUACUCGAAGUCCAUCUCCGAUUAUGGCUUUGACUUGGCCCAAAGCGGGUGAAAGGCCCGUACGGGUAGGCUGUGAUUUUAAGCUCUCCUUAGAUGUGUAUGCCUUCGAGUCGGAUUGCUUGAGAAUGCAGUCCAAAGUGGGUGGUAAACUCCAUCCAAGGCUAAAUACUGGCACGAGUCCGAUAGUAGACAAGUACCGUGAGGGAAAGUUGAAAAGUACUCUGAAGAGAGAGUAAAGAGCACGUGAAGCCGCUUGCAGGGAAGCUGGUGGAGUCAAGCUUCUUGUCUGGAGGAUUGUCGUCAGAGGGCUGUUGUUGCGGGACGUGACGCGGGUGAACCUGGAAACGGUUUGCUGCACCUAAAUGCAGUUCAAGUCGCCCCGGGCAGAGUGUUUGUGCCUGCGUCUAUCUCCCACCUCUGGUGCUUUAUUCUCCGUGACAUACAUCACGGUCAAUAGUGGUAAUUCUCGUACUGCGUGAGUGCUUAACCGUGCUUUGGUGGACUUAACCGUCUGCUGGGCAUGGAAUGGCAGAAGGCAUGUGCUGGUCUCGGCCAUCACUAUGCGUAUGCUGGUUUUGACCUGCUAGUGCUCAUGUUCAGUAUCGACCCUAUUGUUGUU
rnacentral:rRNA from 1 species